GACGAACGCUGGCGGCGUGCUUAACACAUGCAAGUCGAACGAAGAGCGAUGGAAGCUUGCUUCUAUCAUUCUUAGUGGCGAACGGGUGAGUAACGCGUAAUCAACCUGCCCUUCAGAGGGGGACAACAGUUGGAAACGACUGCUAAUACCGCAUACGAUCUAAUCUCGGCAUCGAGGAUAGAUGAAAGGUGGCCUCUACAUGUAAGCUAUCACUGAAGGAGGGGAUUGCGUCUGAUUAGCUAGUUGGAGGGGUAACGGCCCACCAAGGCGAUGAUCAGUAGCCGGGCUGAGAGGAUGAACGGCCACAUUGGGACUGAGACACGGCCCAGACUCCUACGGGAGGCAGCAGUGGGGAAUCUUCCGCAAUGGACGAAAGUCUGACGGAGCAACGCCGCGUGAGUGAUGACGGCCUUCGGGUUGUAAAGCUCUGUUAAUCGGGACGAAAGGCCUUCUUGCGAACAGUUAGAAGGAUUGACGGUACCGGAAUAGAAAGCCACGGCUAACUACGUG
rnacentral:rRNA from 1 species